rnacentral:rRNA from 1 species
GCAACUGUUUACCAAAAACACAGGUUUGUGCUAAAUCGAAAGAUGACGUAUACGAGCUGACGCCUGCCCGGUGCUGGAAGGUUAAAAGGAGAUGUGCAAGCAUUGAAUUGAAGCCCCAGUGAACGGCGGCCGUAACUAUAACGGUCCUAAGGUAGCGAAAUUCCUUGUCAGGUAAGUUCUGACCCGCACGAAAGGCGUAAUGAUUUGGGCACUGUCUCAACAGCCCGCCCGGCGAAAUUGUAGUACCGGUGAAGAUGCCGGUUACCCGCGACAAGACGGAAAGACCCCAUGGAGCUUUACUGUAGCCUAAUAUUGGGUUUCGAUGUUGCAUGCACAGGAUAGAUGGGACACUGGGAAACAAUCGCUUUGGCGGUUGCGGAGUGGCCGUUGGGAUACCAUCCUUGCGAUAUUGGAAUUCUAACCUGCGGCUCUGAAUCGAGUCGGGGGACAUUGUUAGGUGGGCAGUUUGACUGGGGCGGUCGCCUCCUAAAAAGUAACGGAGGCGUUCAAAGGUUCGCUCAGCUUGAACGGAAAUCAAGCAAAAGAGUGCAAACGCAGAAGCGAGCCUAACUGCGAGACUGACGGGUCGAGCAGUAACGAAAGUUGGAGUUAGUGAUCCGGUGGUAUGUGAGUGGAAAUGCCAUCGCUCAACGGAUAAAAGUUACCCUGGGGAUAACAGGCUGAUCUCCCCCAAGAGUCCACAUCGACGGGGAGGUUUGGCACCUCGAUGUCGGCUCAUCGCAUCCUGGGGCUGUAUUCGGUCCCAAGGGUUUGGCUGUUCGCCAAUUAAAGCGGUACGCGAGCUGGGUUCAGAACGUCGUGAGACAGUUCGGUCCCUAUCUGUCGUGGGCGCAGGAUAUUUGAUGGGAGCUGUCCCUAGUACGAGAGGACCGGGACGGACGUACCUCUGGCGCACCAGUUGUUCCGCCAGGAGCAUAGCUGGGCAACUACGUACGGAUCGGAUAAACGCUGAAAGCAUCUAAGCGUGAAGCCGACCCAAAGAUAAGAUAUCCCACUGAUUUGAUCAGGUAAGACCCCUUGAAGACUACAAGGUCGAUAGGCACGAUGUGUAAGUGGAGCGAUCCAUUCAGCAAGCGUGUACUAAUAGGUCGAGGGCUUGACCAC